GACGAACGCUGGCGGCGUGCCUAAUACAUGCAAGUCGAACGCAGUGGGGACGGGUGAGUAACACGUGGGUAACCUCCCAUCAGAGGGGAUAACACUUGGAAACAGGUGCUAAACCGAUACUGAUGGAUGGACCCGCGGUGCAUUAGCUAGUUGGUGAGGUAACGGCUCACCAGGGCCACGAUGCAUAGCCAACCUGAGUGGGUGAUCGGCCACACUGUGACUGAGACACGGCCCAGACACCUACGGGAGGGAGCAGUAGGGAAUGUGCGUCAAUGGACGAAAGUCGGACCGAGCAACGCCGCGUGGGUGAAGAAGGUUUUAGGAUCGUAAAACUCUGUUGUUAGAGAAGCGGUAUCUAACAAGAAAGCCACGGCUAACUACGUGCCAGCCGCCGCGGUAAUUC
rnacentral:rRNA from 1 species